GAGGGAGCUUGCUCCCAAAGAUUAGCGGCGGACGGGUGAGUAACACGUGGGUAACCUGCCUGUAAGAUUGGGAUAACUCCGGGAAACCGGAGCUAAUACCGGAUAACAUUUCGAACCGCAUGGUUCGAAAUUGAAAGAUGGUUUCGGCUAUCACUUACAGAUGGACCCGCGGCGCAUUAGCUAGUUGGUGAGGUAACGGCUCACCAAGGCAACGAUGCGUAGCCGACCUGAGAGGGUGAUCGGCCACACUGGGACUGAGACACGGCCCAGACUCCUACGGGAGGCAGCAGUAGGGAAUCUUCCGCAAUGGACGAAAGUCUGACGGAGCAACGCCGCGUGAACGAUGAAGGCCUUCGGGUCGUAAAGUUCUGUUGUUAGGGAAGAACAAGUACCAGAGUAACUGCUGGUACCUUGACGGUACCUAACCAGAAAGCCACGGCUAACUACGUGCCAGCAGCCGCGGUAAUACGUAGGUGGCAAGCGUUGUCCGGAAUUAUUGGGCGUAAAGCGCGCGCAGGCGGUUUCUUAAGUCUGAUGUGAAAGCCCACGGCUCAACCGUGGAGGG
rnacentral:rRNA from 1 species